UAAAACUCAAAUGAAUUGACGGGGGCCCGCACAAGCGGUGGAGCAUGUGGUUUAAUUCGAUGCAACGCGAAGAACCUUACCUACUCUUGACAUCCAGAGAACUUUCCAGAGAUGGAUUGGUGCCUUCGGGAACUCUGAGACAGGUGCUGCAUGGCUGUCGUCAGCUCGUGUUGUGAAAUGUUGGGUUAAGUCCCGCAACGAGCGCAACCCUUAUCCUUGUUUGCCAGCACGUAAUGGUGGGAACUCCAGGGAGACUGCCGGUGAUAAACCGGAGGAAGGUGGGGACGACGUCAAGUCAUCAUGGCCCUUACGAGUAGGGCUACACACGUGCUACAAUGGCGUAUACAGAGGGCUGCCAACCAGCGAUGGUGAGCGAAUCCCAGAAAGUACGUCGUAGUCCGGAUUGGAGUCUGCAACUCGACUCCAUGAAGUCGGAAUCGCUAGUAAUCGUGAAUCAGAAUGUCACGGUGAAUACGUUCCCGGGCCUUGUACACACCGCCCGUCACACCAUGGGAGUGGGCUGCACCAGAAGUAGAUAGCUUAACCUUCGGGAGGGCGUUUACCACGGUGUGGUUCAUGACUGGGGUGAAGUCGUAACAAGGUAGCCCUAGGGGAACCUGGGGCUGGAUCACCUCCUUA
rnacentral:ncRNA from 1 species